GGAGAGGUUCCCGAAGCGGCCUAACGGGGACCGGUUCCACCGGUCGGGCGAUGCCCGCGCAGGUUCGAAUCCUGCCCUCUCCGC
rnacentral:tRNA from 1 species